rnacentral:sRNA from 1 species
AGUUCACUAUGUUUAAUACUCACGUCUGUCGACACGAUUGAUGGGGUGCUGGUUACAGUGGAGACACGGUAACCGGUCAUCAGUCGGGACAGUGCGGAGGCGUAAC